GUGAAACUAAACAAUUCAAUCUCAGAGAAAGAAUCUUUAUUUUAUUAUUAUCAAGAACUUCAAUUUUUUUUUUAAUUUUUUGGAGUCCACAGAUGUUGACUAGUUGUGGCUUUGCACUGUCAUACUGUGUUGGAAAUAUUAUUUCUUGGCGCACCUUGGCUCUAUUUGGUGCUAUUCCAUGCGUGGUGCAGCUUGCGGGUUUAUUCUUUAUUCCAGAGUCUCCUAGAUGGCUGGUGAGUUCAACGGAAAACUAGGGUGAUUUUUCAAUUUGUGAUUGUAAAUUGUAAUAAAGAUUUUAUAAACGAUUUCAGCACUACUGAGUGAAAGCUUGUUGUGGCAGGUGAAUUAUUUUAUGAGCAAGAAUACAUGGAUUUGAACUAAUUCUGUUGGAAUUUCUACAGGCGAAGCAUGGCAGGGAAAAAGAAUUUGAAUCUGCUUUGCAACGUCUUAGGGGAAAGAAUGUAGAUAUUUCUGUAGAAG
rnacentral:misc_RNA from 1 species